AGUGAACGCUGGCGGUAGGCCUAACACAUGCAAGUCGAACGGCAGCACAGUAAGAGCUUGCUCUUACGGGUGGCGAGUGGCGGACGGGUGAGGAAUACAUCGGAAUCUACUUUUUCGUGGGGGAUAACGUAGGGAAACUUACGCUAAUACCGCAUACGACCUACGGGUGAAAGCAGGGGAUCUUCGGACCUUGCGCGAUUGAAUGAGCCGAUGUCGGAUUAGCUAGUUGGCGGGGUAAAGGCCCACCAAGGCGACGAUCCGUAGCUGGUCUGAGAGGAUGAUCAGCCACACUGGAACUGAGACACGGUCCAGACUCCUACGGGAGGCAGCAGUGGGGAAUAUUGGACAAUGGGCGCAAGCCUGAUCCAGCCAUACCGCGUGAGUGAAGAAGGCCUUCGGGUUGUAAAGCUCUUUUGUUGGGAAAGAAAAGCAGCAGGUUAAUACCCCGCUGUUCUGACGGUACCCAAAGAAUAAGCACCGGCUAACUUCGUG
rnacentral:rRNA from 1 species